rnacentral:rRNA from 1 species
GACGAAGGAUGCAAGCGUUAUCCGGAUUCAUUGGGGUUAAAGGGAGCGUAGGUGGCCUUAUAAGUCAGUGGUGAAAUCUCUGGGCUUAACCCAGAAAUUGCCAUUGAUACUGUAGGGCUUGAGUAUAGUUGCCGUUGGCGGAAUAUGACAUGUAGUGGUGAAAUACAUAGAGAUGUCAUAGAACACCGAUUGCGAAGGCAGCUGACGAAACUAUAACUGACACUGAGGCUCGAAAGUGCGGGGAUCAAACAGG